UCCAACGGCUGAUAGUUUCAACCUCUACUUUACACAGGAAUUCGUUCUUCUCACCGGAGGAGAUGUAGAGAGAACUUCGCAGUCGUUGUGAUUGGUGACAGCGUCGUCUCCUCCUCAUCCACUAGUCUCACCUAAAGAUUUGGAUUCGACCCGAUUUCGAGCUUCGAAGUUCACAGUCGUUACGACUGGAGAUUUGGAUUUGUCUCGUAGGAAAAUAAAAAAAUUUGUAUCUAGGGCUUGGAACUGUUAUUUUUGGUUGCUUCUAAUUCAUUAUUUUUUGCCAAAUUUCUCAAUUAUUGUCGGUGAGAGAAAUCAUGGUGGGUUUGAUUGCAGUGUUGAAAUGAGAUUGAUAUUAUGGGAAAUGCUGAAUUUCUUCGAUGCUUGUAAUGUAGACCUGCCUUGUAUGAAGAGUUUUAUCUUUCUUUAUUUGCAAAAGGGUGAUUUGAAUCGCCUAGAAUGAUCACAUAACCCAUUUUGAGGUAAUGUUUGACACAUACAUACAAUGAAAGAUGCAAAGGUUGUGAGAUA